AUGUGUUCAGUCGGGGGAGCCGGGCUUUUUUUUGUCUCUGGGUACAGUGGUACUGGAAAGACUUACCUAUGGAGUGCAAUCUGUGCUUUCCUUAGGGGUGAGAGGAAGAUAGUGCUAACUGUUGCAUUGUCAACAAUUGCAUCGCUGUUACUGCCUGGUGGGAGGACUGCCCAUUCUCGCUUUAAAAUACCCAUUCUCCUUGAAGAUAAUACGCAGUGUGAUAGUAAAAGAGGUUCUAAGCUUUGUAAGUUAAUGAUGGUAGCUUCGCUUGUUAUUUGGGACGAGGCGCUUAUGACACACAGGAAGUGCUUUGAGGCUGUAGAUAGAACAUUGCGUGAUGUCCUCUCUGUGGGUAAUCCAGACCUUGCGGAUGUUCCGUUUGGUGGGAUAGUGAUGGUCUUGGGUGGUGACCUUAGACAAAUCUUACUGGUCGUUGAGGGAGGUACUAGACCUCAGAUUGUUGAUGCGGCGAUCACAAAUUCCCCGCUGUGGCGCUCUGUUAAGAAGCUGUCACUCUCUGUUAACAUGCGCUUGUCUGUUCAUGGUGUGGAUAGUCAGGCACAGCAGGAUGUUGCCUUAUUUAGCAAAUGGGUUCUUGAUCUUGGUGAAGGAAAGUUGCCUGUUACAAGGCGAGGCGAUGAUGUUGAGGCUUCUUGGAUACAAAUUCUGGACGACCUAUUGGUUUGUACAGAUGGUGAUCCAAUAUCUGCUAUUGUUUCUUAUGUUUACGGUGAUUUCUCUCAAAACUACAUGAACUCUGGAUACUUGCAAGAAAGAGCCAUUUUAGCACCCACCAAUGACCAUGCUGAUGAUAUUAAUGAUCAUGUUCUUAAGUUGGUUCCUACUGAUAGCAGAGACUAUCUGAGCGCUGAUUCAAUUGACGACUCUGUAGAUUCUGUUAGGGACAAGGAUAUUUACUAUCCAAUUGAGUACUUGAAUUCAACUAAGAUUAUAAAUUUCCCAAACCAUAGGUUGACUCUUAAGGUUGGUUUUCCGAUUAUGCUUCUUAGAAACCUUAGCCAGGCAAAUGGUUUAUGUAACGGUACACGCCUAAUUGUGAAAGAAUUGGGUGAUCGGCUUAUCGAGGCUGUUAUUAUGACUGGCUCGCAUGUGGGCGAUACCGUUUAUAUCCCUAGGAUUGAGUUAUUAGCAAAGAAGGGUAACGCACCCUUCGUGCUUAGGCGUCGCCAGUUUCCUGUUCGUGUGUGCUAUGCCAUGACAAUCAACAAGAGCCAAGGACAGACCCUGUCUGCUGUUGGUAUAUAUCUUAAGGGUCCUGUUUUUACGCACGGCCAGCUGUAUGUGGCGGUUUCUCGUGUUACUUUGAGAGCUUGUUUGAAAAUCCUUAUAUUAGAUGCUGAUGGUAAGUGUGGAUCUAAGACUAAGAACAUUGUUUCCCCUGAGGUCUUCCGGGCCGCGGGGAUGGCCUAG
rnacentral:rRNA from 1 species